GAUGAACGCUGGCGGCGUGCUUAACACAUGCAAGUCGAGCGAUGAAGUUUCCUUCGGGAAACGGAUUAGCGGCGGACGGGUGAGUGACACGUGGGUAACCUGCCUCAUAGAGUGGAAUAGCCUUCCGAAAGGAAGAUUAAUACCGCAUAACGUUGAAAGAUGGCAUCAUCAUUUAACCAAAGGAGCAAUCCGCUAUGAGAUGGACCCGCGGCGCAUUAGCUAGUUGGUGGGGUAACGGCCUACCAAGGCGACGAUGCGUAGCCGACCUGAGAGGUGAUCGGCCACAUUGGGACUGAGACACGGCCCAGACUCCUACGGGAGGCAGCAGUGGGGAAUAUUGCACAAUGGGGGGAAACCCUGAUGCAGCAACGCCGCGU
rnacentral:rRNA from 1 species